UUGUCCUACGGGAGGCAGCAGUAGGGAAUAUUGCGCAAUGGAGGAAACUCUGACGCAGUGACGCCGCGUAUAGGAAGAAGGUUUUCGGAUUGUAAACUAUUGUCGUUAGGGAAGAUAAAAGACAGUACCUAAGGAGGAAGCUCCGGCUAACUACGUGCCAGCAGCCGCGGCAAUACGUAGGUGGCAAGCGUUGUCCGGAAUUACUGGGUGUAAAGGGAGCGUAGGCGGGAAGCCAAGUCAGAUGUGAAAACUACGGGCUUAACCUGUAGACUGCAGUUGAAACUGAC
rnacentral:rRNA from 1 species